rnacentral:rRNA from 1 species
UACGAGGGGGGCGAGCGUUGUUCGGAAUUACUGGGCGUAAAGGGAAUGUAGGCGGUGACGUAAGUCAGAUGUGAAAGCCCUGGGCUUAACCCGGGAAGUGCAUUUGAUACUGGUGAGCUUGAGGGCAGCAGAGGUCGGUGGAAUUCCUGGUGUAGUGGUGAAAUGCGUAGAGAUCAGGAGGAACACCGGUGGCGAAGGCGGCCGACUGGGCUGCCUCUGACGCUGAGGCGCGAAAGCUCGGGGAGCGAACGGG